ensembl:lncRNA
CGGGUAACGAGCUGCACCACUCUUUGGCCCGGGCGAGGGCCAUGGUGGGUGGGUGGGCUCCGGGGGCCGGGAAGAAGGGCGGAGCGCUGUGCCGGGCCGGGGACGAGGCCGGGUGACGGCGGCGACGCCGAGUCUGCAGUGUGUGAGCCAGAAGUGAGCGCACAGCGCCCGGCGAGCAGGUGCCUGUGGCGCGGAGAGCGCACCAGCGAGCAGCGAGCAGCGGCCGUCUGCAGUCCCUGAUGAAUAAUGAGCUCUGAGCAAAGUAAACUUGGCACUAUGUCAGUGGUCUCCACAUAGCUCCCCUCAGAUCAAAUAUUAAAAAUAGAAGAUGGAGAAAAGGAGCAACCGUCCCCUGUGGUAUCAGUUCCAUAAAUAUUGCUUCAUUAAGCUGUCUGCAUCAGCUCAAAGAGAUGGAUUUUCAAGCGUGGCCAAGGUUCCAGACUGCUUGUUGCAAUGAAGCAGAAGACUCCGUCUGGGCUGCCAGUGUCACCUCGCCUCCCUGUGCUGUGUCUGCCACUGUGGUGAGGGGCCAUCAGUUAACAGCCAGAGCUGACCUGACAUCUGCCCAAAGGACAUGUGUUUAUUUAUUUGGAGUGAAGCCGCUCCCAUCGGUGUACUAGUGGCUUCCAUCCCAGCCAAACAGCAGGGAAUUAAUAAUGAUGGCAUUUGACUUUCUUAAGACCUUCCUUUGGUAAAACCUGCAUUCAUCCUACUGGCAUCUCUCUGAUGUGGGGGACAGGAUGUGGCAAACAGAGGCUUUCCUGCCAUCUCAGGUCCAUGGUUUAUGAGGAGGACUGGAGGUGCCAGUUUUGAUAGAGUGGUACAUAAAGGGACUGAGUAGCUCCUGACUCUUUGAAGCGAGUCAGAAAUACAUUUGGACUAUUGAGCUAGUUCUCAAUUUAAGGUCACAAAUAUUUACCAUUGGGCCCCAGGAUCCAUGCUAAAGAAGAAGAAGAGCUGCUCAAAAAACAAUGGUCAGAAGUAGUCCUUUGAUUAGGAGCAAGAAGCAUCGCCUUGGUUCAGGCAUAGUCCUGCCAACAAGUGUAAGCAUGCUGAAUUUCUACAAGAAUGUGUAGAUUUUAUGUCAGGGAUCCAGGAUUAGUCAACUGUCAAAGAUGCAGAGCUGAAACAUGGAAGUCCGGCAUGGUGACACGUGUCUCUAGCCCCAGCAUUCCAAAGAAUCGCAAGCUUGAGCCCAGCCUGGGAAACUUAGUGACUUUGUGAGACCCUAUCUCAAAAAAAAAAGAAAAAAGAGGGGCCUGGAAUUGUAGCUCAGUUGAAGGCUCUGGGUUCAAUCCCCGGUGUCACAAACAAACAAAUAAAAAACCAAGAAAAUAUAGGAAGAGCUUGUCCCAGGGGUUCACUCCAGGUCCUGUUCUUCCGCACAGUGGACUCCUGCUGGAUGUGGUGUUGCUAUCUGACUGGACACUCAAGCUGUUUAGUGGGAGAUCUCUCAUCCUCAGUGGCAGCAUGGACCCCAGUGCCAAGGAACUCCCAGAAGACAAAGUUACACGUAAUCAACUUCAGCCCCAAACAGACCAAAAAGCCCUCAUUCUAGGGACAUAGGCCAUGUCCCCCAAGAGGCGGAAGGAAGGGGAAUGGAAUAUGUUCCAGGAUAAUUCCACUGAAUGCUCCAACUCUGCUGUUUGCCAGGGGGGCUCAGCCUUUGGCUGUGCUUUUCAGGUGCAUCUCAGGGACUCCUCAGGGGCUCAGUGCCUCCUCUCCUGGGGUUUUCUUGUUAGCUUUGCUCAAUUUAAUAUCAAGCUCCUGUUGGCCAGUUAUUGGGGGUAUGAAGACUUAUAGAUGAGCAUUGCUCUUCUUAGGUCUAGUUGAAUAGGGAAGUUGCUUUUUAGUUUUAGUACAAGAAGGUGGCCCCAGGUCAAGUUCCUACUGCUUGUGCUUACAGAGGAGAAAACUUCCUUCCCAGAGCAAGGGGUACUACCCAUGGGGUACUGAGGACUCCAUAGGACCACCUUUCCUACACCGUCUCCCAGUGAGGUCAGACUCCGUGUACCAGUGGCCUUGUCAUCUGUAAUCAAGGAGGGAUUGCCCACUUACCAACCACCUGAAAGACGGUUUCCCUUUCCCUGCUGGGGCUCUGUAGGGUCCUCAGCACAUAAGCAUGUCUCAGAGCAUCACUGGGAGGUGCCCAACAUGAAGGGACAUGUCUAGUUUUACAGUAUGCAUGGAGAGUUUGUCACACAGACCUGUCCAUUAGAUCUAGACCCUUACUAAAAGUAUCCUGGAUAAUAAAUCAUCAUUUCUUAUUAAAUGAAGAGGCAUCCCCUUUCUCAGCAUGGCUGUUCUCUUGUAAUCAUGAUAAAUGGCAAAUCCCGGACAGGUGAAUUUUAAUAGGCAUACAAAUGCACUCAGAUUAAUUAGAUUACAUUUUUAAAAAAACUUUUCUCUUUUGCUCCAUAAAUCUAAAUGGGGGCCUCUAAAAGAUAAUAGCUAUCCACACACUAAAAUACAUUAUGACACAAUAAAAGAUUAUUGAUGCACAUAUGCAGUUAGACGUUAUGUUGGACACAGCAGAAUGGCAUACAGAUGUGGUGGGAGCUGUUCUGAAGUGAGCAUUUGCUGGCUGUGGUUAAUGGGACCUCCCUGGCCAAAAAAGUGUGCGGGGUGAGUGGACGGAUGGAACUCAGUGUCUAUUUCUACCUCCGAGCAGAUCUCUGAAGUUGGCAAUAUUUCCCUUUCAAAAGCAAGUGGCUAGAUUAGAGACAUAUUGUGCAAACCCUGGUCGUUAUCUUCUGGCUGAGAAAUAAAAGAUACUGUCUGACGGCCACAGAGAACUGUGGUGUUGGGGGGAGAACAGCGUCAGCAGAUAAGCCUUGAGACUGAGGAGGCCCAGCUGUCACUUCUUUUCCCCCAUUAAGUUUAUUGGUACAUUUUAGGUAUAAAAUAGAGUUACAUUCAUCAUACAUGAGUCUCUUGGUUCUUAUUUGUUUCCCCUUCCCCUGCCCUCCCUUCACCCCCUCCACCCUUCCCUAUUUGCAAUGACUUUAUUUCCAUUUUUUUCUUUUCCCUUCUUUCCUUUCCCCUACCCCUCCCACUUACCCUACUCCUUUAGACCUUUUCUUCCUAUUACAUAAUAGCAAUUAUACAUUUUUAAAAUUACAGUAUCAAGAUCUAGGAGACAUUACCACAGAUUUUACAGAAUUUAAAAGGAUAUAGAAAGCAUAUUACAAAAAUCUUUUUUUUCCCCAUUAAGUUUAUUGGUCCAUUUUAGGUAUAAAAUACAGUUACAUUCAUCAUUGGGAUCUUGUACCAUUACAUGAGUCUCUUGGUUCUCAUUUUUGUCCCCUUCCCUUGCCCUACCUUCACCCCCUCCACCCUUCCCCAUUUGCAAAGACUUUGUUUCCAUUUUUUUCCUCUUCUCAUAUUUUUUCCUUUCCCUUUCUCCCUUCCCCUACCCCUCCCAAUUCCCCUGCUCUUUUAGACCUUUUCUUCCUGUUACACAAUAUCAUUUAUACAUUUUUAAAAUUAUAAUAUUAAGAUCUAGGAGACAUUACCACAGAUUUUUACAGAAUUUAAAAGGGUGUAGAAAGCAUAUUACAAAAAUCUGUUUUGAAAUAAAUUUGACAACUUCUAAGAAGUACCUUGGAAGACAAACUAAUGAAACUAACUCUGGAGGAAAUAUAAAAUUUGAAUAACACCUAUUAAAGAAAGUAUUUUCCUAGCUUGAAAACCUACCUAUAUGACAACAGCAGGCUCAUAUACAUUUUAACUAAUAAAUUAUAUUAAACAUUUAAAGCAGAGAAAAGAAGGAACACUUUUCCUCUCACUUUAGGAAAUCAACAUUGUGCUAAUCCUAAAACUGGAUAAAGAUAAUAGAAGAAAAAAGUAUGAACAUAGAUAGAAAUUUGUUUAACAAAACAAACUAUUAGAAGUCAGACCUGGCAGGAUGUAGAAAGUGGUUUUAUUAUAGGGAUGGCAGUGUUGGUUCAGCACUGGAAGGUCCACCCCCAAAAGUCAUCAUUUUAACAGGAAAGGAGAAAGCCAAAUGAUCCUGUCACUAGUUAGAGAAAAAGUAUUGGACUAAAUUCUACAGCUGUUUAUGGUAAAACCAGCUGUCACUUUUAAAUCUCACCUUCUUUCUCUACAUCUGACCCCCAGUGUUGUGAUUUCCAAGUCGAGAAAAGAAAUGUUCCACCAUGAAGGAAACAUACAAUGACCUUUAUGAAACGUUUAGCAUUUAGAAAUGGCUAAAAGGCAGACAAAGACAGUGGGGAAGGAGAAGAAUAAUUAAGAGCUCAAUUUAUCAUGAUCACAACCCGUGAUAGUCAACAGUGUGUGAGCAUUGUAUGGAGUCGACAGCAUCUCAGUGGAUCUUCAGCCACCCUGUGAGACAGGCAUUGCUACGAAGAUGGAAAUGAACUAGGAAAAUGAGGUUCAGGGAGGAGGAUCCAUUUGGUAGAUAUGGCAAAUAAAAUAUAGGAUUCCCAGGUAAAUUCAAAUUUGAGAUAAACAGCAGAUCAUUUCUUAGUAUAAGCAUGUCCUGCAUGUAAAAGAUUGUUUUCUGUUUAUGUGAGAUUCACAUAGAACUAGACUGGACUAGGGCCGGGGAUUUAGCUCAGUGGUUUCGCUUCCAUGCAGCACAAGUGCAAGGACCCAAGUUCGAUCCCCAGUAUCAAAAAAAGAACUAGACUGGACUGAUUUAGGUCCACUUCAAUGUGGUUGUUUUGGUGGUUUCAUCCUAAAUUUCCUGCCCACCUGGUCACUAAACUAAACUUCAGGCUGACUCUUUCUGUCAAAUGGGCUGUGGUAUCAGAAACAGCAAUUUGCCAUUCUUGUUGGCUGACCAUGUAUGUGGUGGGAAUAUAGAAAGGCUCAUCUCAUCGUGGUGUGCAGCUGGCACUCAAAUCCUGUACUGUUAAGAAGUUUAGUGGAAGAGAGUGACCUCUAUUUAUGGUAGCACCUUGGUCACAGCACAUCCUGUUGCUGGCACACUGAGGAGGGGCAGCAUUGACGCUGGGCUUGGGGAAUGUGGGGUAGCUGGGUUCCCAUGGUGUCUGUCACUCUUGAGUCACUGAAGUGUGAUCAGUGGGGCUUCCCUGUUUCUGGCCUCCCACUCACCAGCCUGUGUGCAUAAAGCUAUUAUUCCUCUGCUAUCUUUCCUUUCAAAUCGCUCCAAAUCCCAGCAAAUAAACUGUGUGUCAGCCCAGAGCAUUUGCUUCUUCUUGUGCUGGCUCUGUCACCUCUUUCAGUUUUGAUAACAUCUGUGAAGGAUAAAAUUCAUACUCAAAGCAUCCUUAGAGUUUCUCUCUCAUUCCCUCUGAUCUGUAGCUCCCUGCAGCUCAGGGAAUUACACCCUACUGUCCAUGUUUUCAAUCUGUUAGGCAGGAGUUUUCUUCUGAAAGCCCGACUCCAAUAAGAGACUGUGUAUAUUUAAAGACCUUAAUUAAGGGUUAUCAGUCAGAAUAUCCAUUACAAGUCUGAGCUUUGAAGCUUAGGACUUAGACUCUUUAGUUUUCAACAUGUUUUGAAAUGUGACAUUUGGAUAUAUGGCCCAUGAAGAUUCUUCCUUGCAAAAAAGAGGGGGUUCACAUUAAGGUAGUAAAUAUAGGUGAAUUCCAAAUGUAGUUGAUAUGUAGACAUUGGAGAAAGAGGAACCCAUGCUUAAUGAAAACAGAAAGAAGAGUUAAUGGAGAGGAGAAGGAAGAGGAAGAGGAGAAGCAGGAGGAGGAAGACUCUGGCCAGCGAGGCUGUGUCUGCUCUUGGGGAAAGUGCAGCCAGGUUCAAAGAGGUGAAGUGCACCCCACAAACCUGAAAAAUGACUUUCUUCUGCUUUCAUUCAUUCGCCUAUCACCUAUGUGCCUUUAAUUUGAAAAAUUGCAAAAACAUAGGAAAUCACAAAGACAGCAUAACUCCAUUUGUUUAUUUAACAGACUUAUUGAGAAAAACAUAGAUUCCCAUUUAAUUCCAUUAGGCAUUAGGGUGCAUAAUUCCUAUAAUUCCGAGGUAAUAUAGAACAACUCAUGCUGUAAAUUUAGCUUUUAUUAAGCUAAUUAUCUUAAAAUGAAAUGAACCUACGUCUGACUGUGAUGUUUACCUGGGGAAGUGUUUAUUGAAACUACUGCUAGUGAUUAAUUUCUGAUUUAAGCUAGAAGUUUCGGUGGUUUAUUUCAGUUUCAGCUGGAAGUGACUGCUUACUUCUGCGGUCUACCUCUGCUGUGGACACUGGCUGCUUGUGUGUUCCCCUGAGGUCCCCCUCUCUCCUUCCUUCAUCAGCUCUAGGCUUUGUGAGGAGAGGAAAAUGUGCAGAGUGCUGGUGGGUCUUUUUAUUUUUCUUCCUCUGUGCUCCUUAAUCAUGAUAUAGCAAUUUGACUGGAUUAAGUCACCUAGCAGAUUAAUAAAACAUACUUUGGGGUGUGUGUGGGGUGUUUCCAGAGAUGAUUGGCAUGUAGGCCAACAAAUUGAGGGAGAAGACCAAACCUGAUUGUAGGCAGCACCAUCCAAUAGGCUUGCAUCCUGGAUAGAAUGAAAGGGGAAGAAGGAGGAAGUCAGCCUGUGUUGGAAAAGCUCCAUUCUGCUUGACGGGGCAUCUUCUGCUACUUGUUUCACCUGUAGACUCCAGCGUCCUCAGCCUUUCUCUGCAUAUUUACACGGAGACUCUCCAGGGAGCUUCCAGGGCUUCAGUCUCAGACUGCUGCCGCCUCCUCAAUCCCUCUCAUUCUUCAGCCUCCAGCUUCUUGGGUUGAGCAGCUACUAGAUUGCUCUUCAAUGAAUAGAUAGCCAUUGUAUAGUCUCUCAACUCUGAUUCUUUAAGCCUACCUAAUCAAUGUCCUUGCUUAAUUAUAUAUAUAAAGUGUUGACUUUGUUCCUCUAGUGAACACUAACACAACCUUCUAGAAUGCUGAUGGUAAGGAAUAGAGCAUCUUAUUUUCUUACUUUAUUAAAGUGUAAUGCACAAUUUGGUAUCAGUCACCUCAUUGAAGUCAUUUUGAUGUGGGAAUCUAUUUAAUUGAACCUAUUUAAUUCAAUAGUCACUGUGCUGGGAAUGGGGCAGAAGAAAUGAGUUCAUGGUAAUCUAACAGCAUGGAUCAACCUCUCAGGUGUCAUGCUGGUCAAAUGCAGAUAGACAUGAGGAAGUGUUCUGCCUCAGUCCAUUUAUAUGAAGUUUGGUGACAGCCAGCACUAAGCUGCCAUGUCACGAGGAUGGGUGGUUGCCUAGGGUGUUAUGUCAGGAUGUGAUUGAAAGGGACAAAAGGAGCUUUCUGGGGAGACAGAAAUGUUCUAUAUAUUGAUGAAAGUUGGGGUUACAUGAGUGUAAUUUAUGGGUGAGUAUUUUUAAAAUUCAUGGAACUGUACACUUAAAUGGUUGCAUCUUAAUGCAUAUAAACUAGAACUCAAUAAAUUAUUGCAUUAAGUUUUAAAAAACAUGAGUAAGAAUUUGUCACACACACACACACACACACACACACACACACAUGAGAACUACAUGCUGCCUGAGCCCAGGAGGGGACUGAAUGAUUAAUGCUGUGUGGAUUGGGGGAGUGGGAGGGGACUAGGAAAGCUACUGUUAAAUGUUAGAUGGGCAGUGCAGGAAAAGGCAAUUUAUUUUUUAUUUAUUUUAUUUUUUUAUUAAAUUCUUUUAUUGGUACAUUGUAGGUAUACAACACAAUUACAUUUCUCAUUGGGAAUU